rnacentral:rRNA from 1 species
GUCUAUGUCCAUACCACCCUGAAUGCGCUCAAUCUCAUCUGAUCUCAGAAUCUAAACAGGGUCGGGCCUGGUUAGUACUUGGAUGGGAGAAUAAUUUUAUCUAAAAGUACAAAUAAUAAAACU